rnacentral:rRNA from 1 species
AACGAACGCUGGCGGCGUGCCUAACACAUGCAAGUCGUGCGAGAAAGUUCCUUCGGGAGCGAGUAAAGCGGCGCACGGGUGAGUAACACGUAGGUAACCUGCCCCCCAGUCUGGAACAACUAGAGGAAACUCUAGCUAAUGCCGGAUGAGACCACGAUCCCUUCGGGGGUUGCGGCCAAAGAUGGCCUCUACUUGUAAGCUAUCGCUGAGGGAUGGGCCUGCGGGCCAUUAGCUUGUUGGUGAGGUAACGGCUCACCAAGGCUGUGAUGGCUAGCUGGUCUGAGAGGAUGACCAGCCACACUGGGACUGAGACACGGCCCAGACUCCUACGGGAGGCAGCAGUGGGAAUAUUGCGCAAUGGGCGAAAGCCUGACGCAGCGACGCCGCGUGGGUGAUGAAGGCCUCGGUCGUAA